UACGAGGGGGCAAGCGUUGUUCGGAUUUAUUGGGCGUAAAGGGUGCGUAGGCGGUCUGGCAAGUCUUGUGUGAAAUCUUUGGGCUCAACCCAAAGCCUGCACGAGAAACUGCCGGGCUUGAGUAUGGGAGAGGUGAGUGGAAUUUCCGGUGUAGCAGUGAAAUGCGUAGAGAUCGGGAGGAACACCAGUGGCGAAGGCGGCUACCUGGACCAGCACUGACACUGAGGCACGAAAGCGUGGGGAGCAAACAGG
rnacentral:rRNA from 1 species